rnacentral:rRNA from 1 species
AAAGAAACUAACAAGGAUUCCCCUAGUAACUGCGAGUGAAGAGGGAAAAGCUCAAAUUUAAAAUCUGGCAGCUUCGCUGUCCGAGUUGUAAUUUAGAGAAGYGAUGCCCGCGCUGGACCGUGUACAAGUCUCCUGGAAUGGAGCGUCAUAGAGGGUGAGAAUCCCGUCUUUGACACGGACUCCCAGUGCRUUGUGGUACGCUCUCAAAGAGUCGUGUUGUUUGGGAAUGCAGCACUAAAUGGGUGGUAAAUUCCAUCUAAAGCUAAAUAUUGGCGAGAGACCGAUAGCAAACAAGUACCGUGAGGGAAAGAUGAAAAGAACUUUGGAAAGAGAGUUAAACAGUACGUGAAAUUGUUGAAAGGGAAACGCUUAAAGUCCAGUCGCGUCUUCUGGGAAUCAGUCUUGCUUCUGCAUGAUGUACUUUCUAGUCGACGGGUCAGCAUCAGUUUUGACCGGUGGACAAGAGUUGGAGGAAUGUGGCACCUUCGGGUGUGUUAUAGCCUCUGAUUGUAUACGCCGGUUGGGACUGAGGAACUCAGCACGCCGCAAGGCCGGGUCUUUUGACCACGUUCGUGCUUAGGAUGCUGGCAUAAUGGCUUUAAUCGACCCGUCUUGAAACACGGACCAAGGAGUCUAACAUGCCUGCGAGUAUUUGGGUGGAAAACCCGAGUGCGUAAUGAAAGUGAAAGUUGAGAACUCUCUAGAGUGCAUCGACGCCCGGACCAGACGUUUUCUGACGGAUCCGCGGUAGAGCAUGUAUGUUGGGACCCGAAAGAUGGUGAACUAUGCCUGAAUAGGGUGAAGCCAG